rnacentral:rRNA from 1 species
CCAGACUCCUACGGGAGGCAGCAGUGAGGAAUAUUGGUCAAUGGGCGAGAGCCUGAACCAGCCAAGUAGCGUGCAGGAUGACGGCCCUAUGGGUUGUAAACUGCUUUUAUAAGGGAAUAAAGUGAGUCUCGUGAGGCUUUUUGCAUGUACCUUAUGAAUAAGGACCGGCUAAUUCCGUGC